AACAUAUAUUGAACAGAUAUUGUAAGUAGAGAUGUACUCUUACAAGAAAUCCCCUCUGCCCAUCUACAGUGUUGGUUUUUUCACCUUUGUGUCAAGGUACCCUACUACUGACCUGUGUAGUAACCAUUUUUUUAUUCCUCAGGAACCCCAAUGAACAUUGAAUUUUACAUUUCUCCCUAUCAAGUUUUGGAAGCAGAACUAAAUCAUGGUAAAGCUAUUUCAGCUACUCUGCUGUUUCAGCAGAAAUAGCUGACAAGAUUUUUUCAAUACUACCUGUUUCAUUAAGCAAAGUUAAUUAGGGGAAGCUCAGAACUGAAAUUUAAAAUUCUAGUUUAGUAGAACAGUUUAUGUGAUGCAGUUUUGCACAGUUUUAAUGUCCAUCCGGAAACUAUUUUCCAUGUCUUGGUUGUUGAUUCAGCUAUUGCUGCUAUCAUCUUUGGGCAACUUUGGCCUUUUGGGUGUGGUCAGUGUAGGCUUCUCUUCACUGCCCACACCACAGCGGCUGUCAGUUGGACCUGAUCUUCCAAGUCCUUACCAUUGUAUAUUUUGUAUGCACAGGAUUAAUAUACACUAAGUUAAGGAAAAUAAUGCCAUUCUCUUUCUCCCUCAGGUUCCCAGAUAUGUGGAACAAAAACAGUUGUGACUGUUGAAGGCACAGAUACACUCCACAAACUGCCUCUUUCUCCAUUAAUUAUAGAGCCUCAAGCUGGACAGGACAGCAACCCUACUUUUUUGCAAAUGACUGAUGAACUCAGCAUGGAUUUGCCAGCCCAUUUUGUUCUGAAGUUUCAUCAGCCUGUUCCAAUGUCUUCAUCCAGUAUUGAAGAGAUACAGAAGCUCACAGGCAUGUUAUAAUUGUUUUUUAAGACUGAGUACUUCUGUGACUAUGCAUUGCUUAUUUGCUUUUUGCUUCCCCAUGUUAAAGUUGCAAGAAGAAUUUGCUUCUUUGGCAGAACAUAUUCUGUUCUACCAGUCCAAGUAUAACAACCAGUGCAAAACACAAAAAUUCUAAGGAAUAUAUGACAAUUACAGGCAAAGUUAAACACUCUACCUCAAAUUCCCAAUUGCAAAAAAGGGGAAUAAGAAAGAAAACCAAUAUUUUUGUCUUUUCAAAACAUUGGGUUUGUUUUUAAUUUUAGCUUUCAUAACCUACUGUCUUAACCUAAUUGCUAAUAAAAAUAAUGACCUGAUUUCAGGAAUUCAGAUUUCUGGCUUGAAACUAGCUCCGCUGUAUGAGCUAAUUGUUCAGUCUACUCUUAAAGAAAAAUGCAGUGAAGACUUGUCUACAAAUAAAUCUUGUUUCUUUGUGUCUCUUCCAGAUCAUCCAAAGCACUGUUACUUCAUAAACAACGGCUCAGAAAAAUCAGGUUUAGCAGGAGCCUUGGUCAGUAAAAUCCCAUUUAGCCAUCCAAAGUGCGUGCCUGGUGUAAUAGAGAUUCUUCGACAUCAAGUGGCAUUUAACACUCUUAUUAGCAGCUGUGUCUCUGAGAAGCAUAUAAAUGAAGGUACAUUGUGUGGCUGGAAGUGAUGGCACAUCACUUAUUAGAGACAAACUAGUUUCUAAACUGGGUGUUGACAGAUUUUACUACUCCCUUGCCAAAACUGUCAUUACUUGUGGAGUACUGUAAAUGACAAAAAAAUUCUUAAAACUGUAUUGAUUAAAAAAAAAAAUAUAUGUUUAUUCUAUGUACAUAAACUAAGAUGUCAAAGUAAUGAAAAAUCAGACUAUUGUAAUAGUAUUUUUAAAAUUCUGACAUGUAAUUCAGCCAAAAAGAAUCCAGCUUCAAUGGUGGAUAUCACUAAACAGUAUUUUUAUUUCUAGAUGAUUCAGAACUGCUUUACUUCGAAGUGGUACCACACAAGAACACCAGCUUUUCUGUCUUUUUCCUUCAUCCUGUGAAAGAGAAUUUAGCCUGUGGUACGUGUGGAAUAAUUGCUACUGUCUUCUUUACUGAGCUGACAGGGGACUUGUUUCUAUCUAGGCUUUUGCACUGUGUUUCUCAGUUACAGUCUAAGGGCCACUCACCAGCGUGCAGGCCAGGAAAAAACACGAAGUGCACGUACUUGUGUAUAAACUGCUUACUAGGUAUUCUGUACUCGGAAUAAUACAGAAAGUAAAUGCAAAUAUUAAAAUCCUGUUUUGUCUCGGCCAGCAUAUAAUUAAUAAAUUGUAACUUCCACUGUUUCUAAUGUAAGUAUAUUAAACAAAAGCAAGUCAAGCAAAUAUAUUGCUGCAAAUCUCUUUCCACUGACUUCAGUCUUACAUCUCUUCAAGCAUCAAAAUAAAAGGAUGGUUUUUGAUGUUUGUAAGUAUUUCAAACCAAAGAUUUUUCUGUUCUGUUCCUUCUUAGUGGUAAUUGAUGUUAUAAGCUCUAGAAAAGUCCAAUGUCACCUUCAUUUAAAUCCUCAAGAUCCAACUCUAAAUUCUACUGAUGACUUUAUAGCAAGAGUUGUGAAACGUUGCAUGUCAGUCCCAGUUGUCAUGAGAGCUGUUUUCAGGAAUGCUGCCAAGGUGAAAGCUGACAGUGAAACACAAGACAUGAACACAGAACAAGAACCUGGAUCAC